GACGAACGCUGGCGGCGUGCCUAAUACAUGCAAGUAGGACGCAGUUGCGAACGGGUGAGUAACGCGUAGGUAACUACCUAUUAGAGGGGGAUAACUAGUGGAAACGAUAGCUAAUACCGCAUACUAGUAGAUGGACCUGCGGCGUAUUAGCUAGUAGGUAGGGUAAUGGCCUACCUAGGCAACGCUACAUAGCCAACCUGAGAGGGUGAUAGGCCACGCUGGAACCGGGUCACGGUCCAGACUCCUACGGGAGGCAGCAGUAGGGAAUCUUCGGCAAUGGGGGGAACCCUUACUGAGCAACGCCGCGUGAGGGAAGAUGGUGUUCGGAUCGUAGAGCUCUGUUGUUAAGGAAGCGGUACUUAACCAGAAAGGGACGGCUAACUACGUGCCAGCAGCCGCGGUAAUUC
rnacentral:rRNA from 1 species